GCCAAAUGUUCAUCACAAAUUCAGCCCUUGCUGCAAGAUACAGUUUAAAUGGCCAUUAAGCUCCAGAUGAUCUUCAGUAUGAGGGAUACCAUCCUCUCAAUAUUCAAGAGUCACCCUUCUACAGAGCGUACCCCUAGACUGCCAAUCAGUGGAACAUGACAAAGGUGAAAUCCUGCCCCUAUCUCCCUUGGACCUGUCUGGGUAUUGCUUUCACCAACUCAGGGAGACAACACUGCCCUGACAGCUAAUAAGAGGCCAAGAUCCACAAAACCACCACCUCCACUCCUCUGUCAGAAGAAAGGAGUUACAAA
rnacentral:lncRNA from 1 species